GGGUGCUAUCAUACCAGCACUAAUGCACUAGAUCCCAUCAGAACUCCGCAGUUAAGUGUUCUUGGGCGUGUUGCACCCC
rfam:Brassica napus, WGS project CCCW01000000 data, contig: 20169